GUUCCAAUCGCUUCAGGACGAGUUGCUUGUUUUUGCUCUUCUGAGACAUAAAAACACUUCACACUCGGUUGUAUAUGAAAAAUAAUACAGAUUCUUGGUCAUGUCGUACUUUCUCAUGGAUUUGAAGUUCUUCAGAUGAUAAAUUUUUCACUUACAUCCCAUAAGUACUGCAACUUCGGGCCAAUGAGCCGCGACUUUUUUCCCCCACACGCUUUCAACCCUGCGGCUAUGCGGAUAAUUUGCGCAUUUUUUUCUAACGGCCGCGAGGGGGCACUCGAGCGGAAAAGCUCUGCAAGGGAGCACUUGAGAAGAAAAGUGCGUGCCUCCAUCUUUCUAAUUGUUCCUCCACCUGCUCCCUGCUUUCACUGCAUAUCACAAUAUCAUCUGCGGACAUCACGGUCCACGGGGAUUCCAGUCUAACCUCGUCUGUCAGCCCAUCCAUUACCACAGCAAACAGGAAGGGGCUGAGAGCUGAUCCCAGAUGCAGUCCCACCUCCACCUUGGCAACAACAACAAAGAUAUCCAUCCACCCAUCCAUGAUCUACCUCUUUUCCGGGUCGGGUCGCGGGGGAAAGAGCU